rnacentral:rRNA from 1 species
UGGCUCAGAUUGAACGCUGGCGGCAGGCCUAACACAUGCAAGUCGAGCGGCAGCGGGAAAGUAGCUUGCUACUUUUGCCGGCGAGCGGCGGACGGGUGAGUAAUGCCUGGGGAUCUGCCCAGUCGAGGGGGAUAACAGUUGGAAACGACUGCUAAUACCGCAUACGCCCUACGGGGGAAAGGAGGGGACCUUCGGGCCUUUCGCGAUUGGAUGAACCCAGGUGGGAUUAGCUAGUUGGUGGGGUAAUGGCUCACCAAGGCGACGAUCCCUAGCUGGUUUGAGAGGAUGAUCAGCCACACUGGAACUGAGACACGGUCCAGACUCCUACGGGAGGCAGCAGUGGGGAAUAUUGCACAAUGGGGGAAACCCUGAUGCAGCCAUGCCGCGUGUGUGAAGAAGGCCUUCGGGUUGUAAAGCACUUUCAGCGAGG